rnacentral:rRNA from 1 species
GCGGGACACGUGGUAUCCUGUCUGAAUAUGGGGGGACCAUCCUCCAAGGCUAAAUACUCCUGACUGACCGAUAGUGAACCAGUACCGUGAGGGAAAGGCGAAAAGAACCCCGGCGAGGGGAGUGAAAAAGAACCUGAAACCGUGUACGUACAAGCAGUGGGAGCCUCUUAAUGGGGUGACUGCGUACCUUUUGUAUAAUGGGUCAGCGACUUAUAUUCUGUAGCAAGGUUAACCGAAUAGGGGAGCCGAAGGGAAACCGAGUCUUAACUGGGCGUUAAGUUGCAGGGUAUAGACCCGAAACCCGGUGAUCUAGCCAUGGGCAGGUUGAAGGUUGGGUAACACUAACUGGAGGACCGAACCGACUAAUGUUGAAAAAUUAGCGGAUGACUUGUGGCUGGGGGUGAAAGGCCAAUCAAACCGGGAGAUAGCUGGUUCUCCCCGAAAGCUAUUUAGGUAGCGCCUCGUGAAUUCAUCUCCGGGGGUAGAGCACUGUUUCGGCAAGGGGGUCAUCCCGACUUACCAACCCGAUGCAAACUGCGAAUACCGGAGAAUGUUAUCACGGGAGACACACGGCGGGUGCUAACGUCCGUCGUGAAGAGGGAAACAACCCAGACCGCCAGCUAAGGUCCCAAAGUCAUGGUUAAGUGGGAAACGAUGUGGGAAGGCCCAGACAGCCAGGAUGUUGGCUUAGAAGCAGCCAUCAUUUAAAGAAAGCGUAAUAGCUCACUGGUCGAGUCGGCCUGCGCGGAAGAUGUAACGGGGCUAAACCAUGCACCGAAGCUGCGGCAGCGACACUAUGUGUUGUUGGGUAGGGGAGCGUUCUGUAAGCCUGUGAAGGUGGCCUGUGAGGGGUGCUGGAGGUAUCAGAAGUGCGA